UACGGAGGGUGCAAGCGUUAUCCGGAUUCACUGGGUUUAAAGGGUGCGUAGGUGGGUUGGUAAGUCAGUGGUGAAAUCCCCGAGCUUAACUUGGGAACUGCCAUUGAUACUAUCAGUCUUGAAUACCGUGGAGGUUAGCGGAAUAUGUCAUGUAGCGGUGAAAUGCUUAGAUAUGACAUAGAACACCAAUUGCGAAGGCAGCUGGCUACACGAAUAUUGACACUGAGGCACGAAAGCGUGGGGAUCAAACAGGAUUAGAAACCCAGUAGUCC
rnacentral:rRNA from 1 species